rnacentral:rRNA from 1 species
GACGAACGCUGGCGGCGUGCCUAAAACAUGCAAGUCGAACGAGGUAGCAAUACCUAGUGGCGAACGGCGGAGUAAGACAUAAGCAACGUGCCCUGAAGACUGGGAUAUACAGCCGAAAGGCUGGGCAAUACCGGAUGUGGCAGCAACCCGGCAUCGGGAGGCUAUCAAAUGGUUUUUCGCUUCUGGAGCGGCUUAUGGCCUAUCAGGUAGUUGGUGGGGUAAUGGCCACCAAGCCGACGACGGGUAGCGGGUCUGAGAGGAUGAUCCGCUCGAGUGGGACUGAGACACGGCCCACACACCUACGGGAGGCAGCAGUUAGGAAUUUUGGGUCAAUGGGCGAAAGCCUGACCCAGCAACGCCGCGUGGGUGACGAAGGCCUUCGGGUUGUAAG